CCUACGGGAGGCUGCAGUGAGGAAUAUUGGUCAAUGGACGAGAGUCUGAACCAGCCAAGUAGCGUGAAGGAUGACUGCCCUAUGGGUUGUAAACUUCUUUUAUAUGGGAAUAAAAUGUUCCACGUGUGGGAUUUUGUAUGUACCAUAUGAAUAAGGAUUGGCUAACUCCGUGCCAGCAGCCGCGGUAAUACGGAGGAUCCGAGCGUUAUCCGGAUUUAUUGGGUUUAAAGGGAGCGUAGGUGGAUUGUUAAGUCAGUUGUGAAAGGUUGCGGCUCAACCGUAAAAUUGCAGUUGAAACUGGCAGUCUUGAGUACAGUAGAGGUGGGCGGAAUGCGUGGUGUAGCGGUGAAAUGCUUAGAUAUCACGAAGAACUCCGAUUGCGAAGGCAGCUCACUGGACUGCAACUGACACUGAGGCUCGAAAGUGUGGGUAUCAAACAGGAUUAGAUACCCUUGUAGUC
rnacentral:rRNA from 1 species